GGAGGAGGGAUAGCUCAGUGCAGAGAGAGAUGAAGAGAAUGGGCUAGAACCAGAUGUUCGCCAAUCAUUUCCAUACAAUUCAUGAAAUUGCUCCCAGUAAGCUCACUCACUAGCAAGCACAAGAUGGAUGUCAGUGAUUGUGAUUCAGUUGCUCUUCAAAUUCUGAGCUAGGGAACAGGAGCAGCAUACAGGAGAGUUUUGCUAGGGAGUUCUCCAGGUGAAGAAGGAGCAACUACAGGACCCUUGGAGUGAGUUUGUUGUCUGCUAGUGUGCUUGCUUGCUUAGCCACGUGACUGUUUGAUUGAAAUGUAUAGUGUCAUCUGUUGCAAGGGAGGCUGUGUGCUGAGCAGUAAACAAGGGCGGUUUGCUAGGGAGAGAGCAUGAGAGCCAGAUACACCUAACCAACAUUUGCUAAACAUCGUCCAUUAACA